AUACGUAGGGGGCAAGCGUUAUCCGGAAUUAUUGGGCGUAAAGAGUGCGUAGGUGGUUACCUAAGCGCAAGGUUUAAUCUUGAGGCUUAACCUCAUUCUGCCUUGCGAACUGGGCUACUUGAGUGCUGGAGGGGAAAGCGGAAUUCCCAGUGUAGCGGUGAAAUGCGUAGAUAUUGGGAAGAACACCGGAGGCGAAGGCGGCUUUCUGGACAGUAACUGACACUGAGGCACGAAAGCGUGGGGAGCAAACAGGAUUAGAUACCCUGGUAGUCCACGCCGUAAACGAUGAGCACUAGUUGUUGGGUCCGAAUGGAUUCAGUGACGCAGUUAACGCAAUAAGUGCUCCGCCUGGGGAGUACGGUGGCAACACUAAAACUCAAAGGAAUUGACGGGG
rnacentral:rRNA from 1 species